AGUGAACGCUGGCGGUAGGCCUAACACAUGCAAGUCGAACGGCAGCACAGUAAGAGCUUGCUCUUACGGGUGGCGAGUGGCGGACGGGUGAGGAAUACAUCGGAAUCUACUUUUUCGUGGGGGAUAACGUAGGGAAACUUACGCUAAUACCGCAUACGACCUACGGGUGAAAGCAGGGGAUCUUCGGACCUUGCGCGAUUGAAUGAGCCGAUGUCGGAUUAGCUAGUUGGCGGGGUAAAGGCCCACCAAGGCGACGAUCCGUAGCUGGUCUGAGAGGAUGGUCAGCCACACUGGAACUGAAACACGGUCCAGACUCCUACGGGAGGGAGCAGUGGGGAAUAUUGGACAAUGGGCGCAAGCCUGAUCCAGCCAUACCGCGUGGGUGAAGAAGGCCUUCGGUUUGUAAAGCCCUUUUGUUGGGAAAGAAAAGCAGCAGGUUAAUACCCCGCUGUUCUGACGGUACCCAAAGAAUAAGCACCGGCUAACUUCGUG
rnacentral:rRNA from 1 species